rnacentral:rRNA from 1 species
UGGGGAUGACGUCAAGUCAUCCAUGGCCCUUACGGCCAGGGCUACACACGUGCUACAAUGGUCGGUACAAAGGGUUGCCAAGCCGCGAGGUGGAGCUAAUCCCAUAAACCGAUCGUAGUCCGGAUCGCAGUCUGCAACUCGACUGCGUGAAGUCGGAAUCGCUAGUAAUCGUGAAUCAGAAUGUCACGGUGAAUACGUUCCCGGGCCUU